rnacentral:lncRNA from 1 species
UUUAAUUUUAAUAGAUAAAACACAAAAAAGAAAGCAAAAUGGAUGCAGCUACCCAAGCCAUCGUCGAUCAGUUGAAGGAAGAUAUCGUAGAAGCUUUUGAGAUAAAGUUUGAUGAGUUCCUGGACAGGUACGAGAGGGAUUUGAGAAGAAUCAAGGACAAGCUGGAUAGGCUGGAAAGCAUUGCCCGUAAUGGAGCUACUGUGGAUGAUAGUUCUUUUGAUUCUGAUGAUAUGGACUAGUUCUUUAGUUGUAUGUUUUUUUUUGUUUUUUUUGUUGAAGUAUUUUGGUUUUUUUUAAGGAAAUGUAAUAUCCUUGGCAAGAAUUAAAG